rnacentral:rRNA from 1 species
UACGAAGGGGGCUAGCGUUGCUCGGAAUUACUGGGCGUAAAGGGCGCGUAGGCGGCCUUCUAAGUCGGACGUGAAAUCCCUCGGCUUAACCGAGGAACUGCGUCCGAUACUGAAAGGCUUGAAUCCGGGAGAGGGAUGUGGAAUUCCAGGUGUAGCGGUGAAAUGCGUAGAUAUCUGGAGGAACACCGGUGGCGAAGGCGGCAUCCUGGACCGGUAUUGACGCUGAGGCGCGAAAGCCAGGGGAGCAAACGGG